rnacentral:lncRNA from 1 species
UGCAGGGACCCAGGCACGUGCAAAUGGCCUUGUAAGUUCAUUCUUGAUGGUGAGGAGCUAGAAGACUCCCCCAAGGACAAGUUGCUUUGAGGAUUUAGUAAGAGCUCUUCCGUAUAUUCUAGAGCCCCCUGGGAUGGGUUCGUUAAAGGAAUAUCUUCUGCUCCCCUGACAUCAAAUUCAUGUGCACUAUUUACUGGAAAAUAACCGCGGUUCUCAGCACUGGCGAGUGGAUUCCUAUUUCUAAUAGGGGACAAUGGUCGGCGAACAUUAAACCUUGAAUUUCCCUCUGAGUCUGAACUGUGAAUAAAUGUAGACGACAUCGACAAGUCUACUGGAAUAUCAUCUCUCAUGGCAGAAUGCAUUAAUGAUCCAGGAGUGUUAUAAGAUAAACUCACUGGUGAUCUUGGAGCUGUUGGUCUACCAGAGAGAAAACAGUCAAGAGAAUUACUAGAACUGCUUAAGUAGGCAUGCCAGUCUCUUUCAUAAUCACGGAUACCAGGCCUGUCUUCUGUGGAGGUACAGUCUCUAAAUCCAUUUUCAGCACUGAGGUCAUCAUCUAGACUAGCUGUGGAUUUGGUGUCCCAUGAAGGAAAGGUGCUUUUCUCAUGUUCACUGUCACCACUGUCAUUCUCGUUAGGAGACCCUCCACCAGGUGGCUUGAGGUCUUGAGACACCCUUGCCCCCACAGGAAGCUGUUCUGUCACUGGUUCCAUUGCAUUGCUCAUUCUUAAUGAGCCACGACUGGACUCAGUUCUUCUUACCGAAUUUGCUCUGCAAUUUUCAGGACUGUCUUCAAAAUUUUUACUUUUGGCCUGAGUGGCCCACGUCCCAAGAAAUCGACUUCUCUUAUGACUGGGAGGAGAACGAGGCCGGUGCAUACCAACCAACAAAAGUUCUUCCUCUAUGAGGGUCUCCUCCUCAGUGUCAUCAUUUUCUCCUCCAGGGUUUAAUGAUAAAAUGGAAUAAAAAUCUUCAUCUCUGAACCUAAAUGGUGCCCUUCUUGACCCUCCCAUGGUGGUGGUUAGGAGUGGGGGCCCCAAGGACUCACUCGACACUUGAGGGCUGUUUGUUCCUAGGAAGGCCUGAGAUAGGCCUGAAUGUGGCUCAUUCUGAGAAAGAACACUUGAGUCUCCUUUUUUGGCUCUCUCAGAGGUAUUCUCAGUCAUAGUCAUUAGCUGUGAAGAUGGGACUAAGUGUCUUCUCUCUUGAGUUGGCCUCUUCAGCUUGGUGCCACUGGCCCACACUGGGCCCUCUUGUUGAACUAUUGGAUCUGCAUGGAGAAAAGACAAGUUUAUCAUUCUUCUAUAGGUGCUCAUGGAUGAAAGAGCUCGAACACUAAGAGAGUCCCUCAAGGAAACAAGCAAGCCUAGAGAAGGAAAUCUGCACGCUUUAAAACGGCUGGAGGUACAGAAGCAGGACAGUAGAGGUAGCUUCAUUUUCUGCUUCUGGAGUCUUCUUUGUACAUUUUGUGGAGCUCGGGCUGGUUCUGGGGCGACAGGGUGACCCUGAGUAUACAGGUCUUUUUUUUUGUGGAAGCUUUGGGAAGACUGUCCAGCCCAGGUCAGUCAGGGCCGAUUAUGGGGAAAUCUCUCAAAUGCUGGUUUUCAAAACAGUGUUUGUGGAUAAGGAAAACCAGCAGUCCAGGAAUGGCUUCUACAAAAACCACCAGUGCCUUUUCAUCUGGAUUCAUUCAACACGCAUUUAUGACACUCCUGCACCACACACAGCUUUAAAAAAUCUUAAGAAAAUAUAAUCUACCUGGGCAGAUUGGGAGGAAGGCUCUAGAAGCUGGUGUCCAGUUACCCUGAUGACUUGGGUUACAUUUAGUGCUUAGUGCAAUAAAAAUUAUAACUCUCUCAUGACA